AAGCCCGGGAGGGGAGGAAAGUCGUGAAAGCUCUGAACCACAAAAGCAAUUCCAAUCCAGGCCCAGGGGAAUCCUUCUUGCUCGAGAGGGAGCUUCCUCCGCAGCGAGGAGAAUGUGACCUACGUUCUAAAACCCCUUGGAGCACCUGAGAAAACAUGAAACUUGAUAAAUGAAGUCAGCUCCCGCCCGCGCUUGCUGCGGGUACCCUGACUUCUAGCAGACAUUUCCUAUCGUUGGCGGGUGUGAGCCACAGCAGAGUUGCCUCGGCCAGCCAUGUAUCGGGACGUUGCCUUCACAACCUACUGUACCACGGUUCACAUCAGAACAGCAUCUCAGAUCUGUGCAAAAAAUCAGCAGUGUAGAAACUUAUCCAUUUACCGUAUCACAGCAGCAAGCAGUAAGAGACCACCAGCCCGGCUUCUACCGUAGGUUCAAUUGUCCUUUUUGUUUUCUAACCCAUUUUGAGCACUGUAACAGGUUAGACAAAUCCAAAGUAGAGCCACAUUCUAAAGCCAGAGUAACAUUUGAAUAAACUGCUAAAGGGCAGAAUGGGGCAAACCCGUUCGACCCAAUAACACUUUGUUAAAGAGAUUUAGAACUUUACUUGAUUUUUUAAAAAAAAGUUUCAUUGAGCCUGUGGAAGAUGGGUUUGGUUUUCUAUUUUUAAACUAC
rnacentral:lncRNA from 1 species